UACGUAGGAUGCAAGCGUUGUCCGGAAUUAUUGGGCGUAAAGAGCGAGCAGGCGGUUCGACAAGUCAGAUGUAAAAUAUCCCGGCUUAACCGGGAGGGGCCAUUUGAAACUGUCGGACUAGAGUGGAGCAGAGGAUAGUGGAAUUCCCGGUGUAGUGGUGAAAUGCGUAGAUAUCGGGAGGAACACCUGUGGCGAAGGCGGCCCCCUGGUUGGAUACUGACGCUGAGACGCGAAAGCGUGGGGAGCAAACAGG
rnacentral:rRNA from 1 species